UGAUCACCUUCUCCACCAACAGCUCCAUCGCCUGAAGGGAGCGAGGAAAGGAGGCAUGCAGACACACUGAAUGGAAGUAGACAAUCCAGACAGCGGAUUAAAGCGCCCCUUUUUAGACAACAUCAGACGAGACGAAGAGACAAACAAAGAGGUCGGAAAAGCUCGACGGAGCGUAGAGCAACGCUCAUGCUUGCAGAAAUGACACUUUAUAUUAUAAGAGAAGUUAAAACACAACAGAAAGUGAAGGCCUCUUACCCAGCAGGGCAUCUUUCCCCAUGUAGGAACCCGCUGACAUAAAUCUCUCAGCACCCGAAUGAUGAUCACACAUGAUUGCAGCCCGUUGGCACGAGCCUUUAGAAAUAAGAAGGAAAACGGCCAUUUACUUUUCGAUAGAUGUACAAGGACCAGUUUUACGUUUUACUUUAUUUGUGUAUUUGAAAAACGAAAUGCAAAAACAUUCAUAUUUAUAUAUAAAAUGGCAGGCAUGCCCUUUAUAUCAUAUUUGUGGUCAUUUAUUUUUUAGGCUGAUAAUAAAUAAUCUUGAGUGCUACGUUGGUCACACAGCACAAAUAAUCGCAGUUUCUUUUCAGACUAAAAGAAGUGAGUUUCCUCAGUUUCCUCCACUCAUGCAAAUUAUUUUGAUUGAAUAUCUCAUCACAAAUUAAACCUUUUUAGGACACGUC